rnacentral:rRNA from 1 species
GACGAACGCUGGCGGCGUGCUUAACACAUGCAAGUCGAACGGAAAGGCCCUGCUUUUGUGGGGUGCUCGAGUGGCGAACGGGUGAGUAACACGUGAGUAACCUGCCCUUGACUUUGGGAUAACUUCAGGAAACUGGGGCUAAUACCGGAUAGGAGCUCCUGCUGCAUGGUGGGGGUUGGAAAGUUUCGGCGGUUGGGGAUGGACUCGCGGCUUAUCAGCUUGUUGGUGGGGUAGUGGCUUACCAAGGCUUUGACGGGUAGCCGGCCUGAGAGGGUGAACGGGCACAAUGGGACUGAGAGACGGCCCAGACUGCAACGGGAGGCAGCAGUGGGGAGUAUGGCACAAUGGGCGGAAGCCUGAUGCAGCAACGCCGCGUGCGGGAUGACGGCCUUCGGGUUGUAAACAGCUGUCGCCUGUGACGAAGCGUGAGUGACGGUAAUGGGUAAAGAAGCACCGGCUAACUACGUG